rnacentral:rRNA from 2 species
CGAGCGGAUUUAAAAGNUUGCUUUUAAAGUUAGCGGCGGACGGGUNGAGUAACACGUGGGCAACYCGCYGUAAGAUGGGAUAAYUCGGGAAACCGGAGCUAAUAGCCGGAUAAUUCUUUUCUCUCAUGAGGAAAAGCUGAAAGACGGUUUACGCUGUCACUUACAGAUGGGCCCGCGGCGCAUUAGCUAGUUGGUGAGGUAACGGCUCACCAAGGCGACGAUGCGUAGCCGACCUGAGAGGGUGAUCGGCCACACUGGGACUGAGACACGGCCCAGACUCCCUACGGGAGGCAGCAGUAGGGAAUCUUCCCGCAAUGGGACGAAAGUCUGACGGAGCAACGCCGCGUGAGUGAUAGAAGGUUUUNCGGAUNCGUAAAACUCUGUUGUUAGGGAAGAACAAGUACAAGAGUAACUGCUUGUACCUUGACGGUACCUAACCAGAAAGCCACGGCUAACUACGUGCCAGCAGCCGCGGUAAUACGUAGGUGGCAAGCGUUGUCCGGAUUAUUGGGCGUAAAGCGCGCGCAGGCGGU